CAGAAUAAAACCAGGGUCAGAACGGCUCUGGCUGAGAGGCAGAGGCUGCCCCAGGGGUUGGAGGCUUGAGGUGGGGCUGGGAAAUACUUGGUAACAGUCCUAAAAGAUCUUUCACUGAACAAACAUCAUCAAGAUCUACUCCACUUCCAUGCAUCCUGCCUACGGAAGCACACAAGUUCCAGGAAUCAAGACCUGGUGAGAAGCUCCUCAAUGAGACAUUCAUGGCUGAA